AAAAGGCCCAAAAUUUAUUAAGGGUAAGGGGGUGGGUUCCACCAAACCCGCGGUUUGGUUUAAGAGCCCCCUCUUUUAAAGGGGGGUAAAGCCCCCGGGGGAGGUUCCCGGCCGGAAAUUUUCGGGGGCAAAUUUUUUCCCGGAAGUUCGGCCUCCUAAUGAGGGUUGGGGAGUUCCCCUUCGGGUUGAAGCAUGCCGUUAGGGCAUUUGGACGUUUGGGAGUAGAAAUUUUGCCUGAGUAACGAGAUGUGGUGAGAUCCCACAGGCCGUAACCCAAGGUUUCCAGGGGAAGUUUCUCCGCCUGGGUUAGUCGGACCUAAGUGGAGGCCAAAGGGGUAGGUGAUGGACACAGGUUGAUAUUCCUGUACUACCGAUAACCAUUUGAGAGAAGGGAUGACACAGUAGGAUAAGCUAAGCACACUGUUGGUUAUGUGUGCCCAAGCAUUGAGGCAGUCAANGUAGGCAAAUCCGCUUUGAUAAUGCUGGGAUGUGAUGGGGAGCGAAAUUUAGUAGCGAAGUAGCUGAUUUCACACUGUCAAGAAAAGUCUCUAUCGAGGUUAAAGGUACCCGUACCGCAAACCGACACAGGUGGGUGAGGAGAGUAUCCUAAGGCCAGCGAGAGAACUGUUGUUAAGGAACUCGGCAAAAUGACCCCGUAACUUAGGGAUAAGGGGUGCCACCAUCAGGUGGCCGCAGAGAAUAGGCCCAAGCGACUGUUUACCAAAAACAUAGGUUUCUGCUAAGUCGCAAGACGAUGUAUAGGAGCUGACGCCUGCCCGGUGCUGGAAGGUUAAGGGGAUCUGUUAGAGCAAUCGAAGCAGUGAACUUAAGCCCCAGUAAACGGCGGCCGUAACUAUAACGGUCCUAAGGUAGCGAAAUUCCUUGUCGGGUAAGUUCCGACCCGCACGAAAGGCGUAACGAUUUGGGCACUGUCUCAACAACAGACUCGGUGAAAUUGUAAUUCCGGUGAAGAUGCCGGAUACCUGCGACAGGACGGAAAGACCCCAUGGAGCUUUACUGUAGCUUGACAUUGGGUCUUGGUACUACAUGUACAGGAUAGGUGGGAGGCUUUGAAACCAGGACGCCAGUUUUGGCGGAGCCAUCCUUGGGAUACCACCCUUGUAGUACUGGGACUCUAACCAUAGGCCAUGAAUCUGGUCUUGGGACACUGUCAGGUGGGCAGUUUGACUGGGGCGGUCGCCUCCCAAAAGGUAACGGAGGCGCUCAAAGGUUCUCUCAGUACGGUCGGAAAUCGUACGUAGAGUGUAAAGGCAAAAGAGAGCUUGAUUGCAAGACAUACAGGUCGAGCAAGGAUGAAAAUCGGACUUAGUGAUCCGGUGGUUCUGCGUGGAAGGGCCAUCGCUCAACGGAUAAAAGCUACCCUGGGGAUAACAGGCUUAUCUCCCCCAAGAGUCCACAUCGACGGGGAGGUUUGGCACCUCGAUGUCGGCUCAUCACAUCCUGGGGCUGUAGUAGGUCCCAAGGGUUGGGCUGUUCGCCCAUUAAAGUGGUACGCGAGCUGGGUUCAGAACGUCGUGAGACAGUUCGGUCCCUAUCCGUCGCAGGCGUAGGAAAUUUGAGAAGACCUGUCCUUAGUACGAGAGGACCGGGAUGGACGUACCUCUGGUGUACCAGUUGUUCUGCCAAGGGCAUGGCUGGGUAGCUAUGUACGGAAUGGAUAAGCGCUGAAAGCAUCUAAGCGCGAAGCCAACUUCAAGAUAAGAUUUCCCACCGCAAGGGUAAGACUCCAGAAAGACUAUCUGGUUGAUAGGUCGAAGGUGUAAGUGCAGCAAUGUAUUUAGCUUAUCGAUACUAAUAGGUCGAGGACUUGACCAA
rnacentral:rRNA from 1 species